CCCGCUGAACUUAAGCAUAUCAAUAAGCGGAGGAAAAGAAACUAACAAGGAUUCCCCUAGUAACUGCGAGUGAAGCGGGAAAAGCUCAAAUUUAAAAUCUGGCAGUCUCUGGCUGUCCGAGUUGUAAUCUAGAGAAGCAUUAUCCGCGCUGGACCGUGUACAAGUCUCCUGGAAUGGAGCGUCAUAGAGGGUGAGAAUCCCGUCUUUGACACGGACUGCCAGGGCUUUGUGAUGUGCUCUCAAAGAGUCGAGUUGUUUGGGAAUGCAGCUCAAAAUGGGUGGUAAAUUCCAUCUAAAGCUAAAUAUUGGCGAGAGACCGAUAGCGAACAAGUACCGUGAGGGAAAGAUGAAAAGAACUUUGGAAAGAGAGUUAAACAGUACGUGAAAUUGCUGAAAGGGAAACGCUUGAAGUCAGUCACGUUGGCCAGGGAUCAACCUUGCUUUUGCUCGGUGUACUUUCUGGUUGAUGGGUCAGCAUCAAUUUUGACCAUUGGAAAAAGGUCAAGGGAAUGUGGCAUCUUCGGAUGUGUUAUAGCCCUUGGUUGCAUACAAUGGUUGGGAUUGAGGAACUCAGCACGCCGCAAGGCCGGGUUUUUAACCACGUACGUGCUUAGGAUGCUGGCAAAAUGGCUUUAAUCGACCCGUCUUGAAACACGG
rnacentral:rRNA from 1 species